rnacentral:rRNA from 1 species
AUUGAACGCUGGCGGAAUGCUUUACACAUGCAAGUCGAGCGGCAGCGCGGGGCAACCUGGCGGCGAGCGGCGAACGGGUGAGUAACACAUCGGAACGUAUCCAAUCGUGGGGGAUAGCCCGGCGAAAGCCGGAUUAAUACCGCAUACGACCUGAGGGUGAAAGUGGGGGCUCGCAAGACCUCACGCGACUGGAGCGGCCGAUGUCCGAUUAGCUAGUUGGUAGGGUAAAGGCCUACCAAGGCGACGAUCGGUAGCUGGUCUGAGAGGAUGAUCAGCCACACUGGGACUGAGACACGGCCCAGACUCCUACGGGAGGCAGCAGUGGGGAAUUUUGGACAAUGGGGAAACCCUGAUCCAGCCAUUCCGCGUGAGUGAAGAAGGCCUUGGUUGUAA